UUUUUUUUUUUUAAGAUUUUAUUUAUUUAUUCCUGAGAGACACAGAGAGAGGCAGACAUAUAGGGGGAAGGAGAAACAGGCUCCAUGCAGGGAGCCUGAUGUGGGACUCGGUACCAGGACCCCGGGGUCACGCCCUGAGCCGAAGGCAGACGCUCAACCACUGAGCCACUCAGGCAUCCCUUUUUAGUGCUUUCAUACUUUUUUUUUUUUUUUUUUUUAGCAAUAACUGGCAUUUAAUGAUAGUUUAUGAGUGCCAAGUUCAAAGUAUGUUCUAAGUAUGUUACAGAUAUCAACUCAUGCAAUCCUCUCAACAACUUUGUGAAGUAGGUAUAAUUCUUUCCCCCAUCCCAUCUUACAGAUAAUGAAAGUAGAGUUGAGGUUAAAUAGGAGCAACCAGGUGGUGAUGGAGGCGGUAUUUUUAACUCAGGUUAUUUCACCUCAGAGAUCAUGGUUAUAACAGAUACUUCCUAUUAUUACCUAUAGCACCGGGUGGAAAUGAUUUGCUCAUGUCUGUAUUCUCCCCCUAAAGCAUGAUUGAUUUAACGAGAGGGUUUGUUGUUGUUGUUGUUGUUAUCUCUAAUAUUGUGUGCAGAGUUGAAUGAAUAAAUAUCUAAGACUGUGACAUUAGGCAAUGGAAGCAUGCAUGUCUUUUGGCUCUUGCCGGAUGUUCUUUUCACUACGGCACACAAAACGUUAGAAAGACGAGGUACUUACUGCAAUUACUAACCGAAAACUAAUACAAUAAUUUAAUCAGAGAAUUCUAACUUCUGUAUCGGCUAGCUGUUGCUGCAUAAUUAGCCAUCCCCAAACCUGGUAGCUGAAAUCAGCAAUCAUUUAUUAUUUCUCAUGAGUCUUUCUAGGUCAGUCAGAGAUUGGUUGAGCGGCUCUCCUGAUCUUGGCUGGGUUCACUGUUAGCUGAUCUAAAAUGGGCUCGGCUGGGGUCGCUGGGGCAACUCAGCUCCACGCCCGAUGUCUCUCUCCCUUCAUCGGCUUGGCCUAAGCGAAUUUCUUGGCAACAGAAGUCCAAGAGAGGAAGCAGAAAGGCACGGGUACGUUUUCAUCCUUCUGUAUGAAUCAAAUUUGCUGACUUUCUGUUGGCUACAGCAAAUCACUUAGUUGAGCCCAUUGUCAAGGAAUGGGACAGGUCAUCCUCCCCUAAUGGGGGGCCACGGUAAGGUUACAUGACAAAAGAGAGCGAAGAAUCAGGGUGGUCACUGCAAUGAACCCCAAUUUCUAUCCCUUACAAAUAACAAAUUUCCUGAACAAUGACUGGGAUUUAUAGGACAGAAAAUUCUCUGCAUAAGGGAUCCUUCAAUCAGUCAGUUAUUUAACAGAUGGGCAUUAACAUGUGUCAUGCAUUAUGAAAGUCGCCACUAACUGCCCCCACUGCCCUGAUCACGUCUGUUGGUGCUAAUCAAAAAUGGCUCAACUUCUGCCCGAUUCUCUUUUUUUACUAUAUUACAUUAGGAGACCUCUCUCAGGUUCCUCUGCGGACCCUUUGCCACUGCCCUUUCUUCUUACCCGGGCCACCCUAUCUCUAGUGCCAGGAAGCUUCUGAAAAAGAAACAAUAAGGUGGAAAAUAUGUUCCGCAUGGACAGCAGAAAACCACAGUGGGGAAACUCUCCACAAUGCAUAGGAGAAAGGAUUCCUAUUUUAAAUAUGUAACUAUUUCUUAGAAAUAACUAUUAGAAAUAAAUAAGGAAAACAAAAAUAACUGUACAGGUGAGUGGGGAAAAAUACAGUAUCAGUCAAUUUGCAGAACUGGUUAUUUUAACACUUAAUGGUAUCCAUGUUACUUAGCAAAGUGCCUUGCCCUUUAGCCUCUUACAACAUUUUGACUGAUGGAUGAGUGAGUGAGCUGUCUACUUGGGUGAGGAAAGUGGGUAAAUAGUAGGCAUGCCAAUUAUGAGCAACGAUGACAUAAUAUGGACAGAAUUUUACCAGCACUAAGUGUAAAGAGCUGGGGGGAGCAGAGGAUGCAAUUCGUGAGGACUGUUGGCAAUCCCAGAGGACUUUACAAAUAGGAAAUCUAAGUGGGUGAAGAGCUUCAUGAAUGUUAGCACACAGUUGAUGGAUGUGGGUUUGCCAUUUUGCAGCUAGAGAACAAGGGAUAGGGUGCAUUCUACCAAAAAAAAAAAAAAAUUGUGGUUCAAUGAUUAGCAGGAUUAAAGAUGAGCUAAAUUAAGUACUCAGCCAUGGAAGAGAUGAUCAGAAUAUUAGAUGCCAUAUAGAGAUCAAGAGAGUUCAGAUUUUGGAAGAAAUCUUAAAAGGUUCCUUCUUCGAGAAUAUCAGGAGCAAAUGAUAUCUGGGAAGGAAGAGCACUAGUGAAAGGGAGCAUCUUAGGGAGGACCCUUCCUUUCUCAGACUGUCUAGGCAACAUGACAAGUUGUAGGCGUGACUUAAGGUAAUAAGAAAACCGACAGAGACAAUUGUAUGACAAUUUGGCAACCAAUUCUAAAUCAAUUUAGACCCAAUUACAUUUCAGAAAUCCUUUUUUAAAUGGUGACCCAAGCACUUGUAAAACACAGUCUCCUUUAUCAAAUGUUUCUAAGGGAGAUGGGAUUUGUGCAUAGAAACUACAUGGUGGUAUUUUUGUACUGUCUAAAUUAGGAUUCCUAGCACCGAGAAGAAAAUUGGCCAUAAAGGUAUCUUUAAAACUCCACCAGGAAUUAGUAGAUGGUGUGAAUCCAGUUGUGUAAUUUGAGAAGACAGCUGCAUUUUAUCUAGCUAAAUCAGCACUCGAGACUAAACAACUCCUAAAGAAUGUCACUUUAUUUCAGCAUUAGCCAUGCAGUGCAGAUUCGAGAAAUGAUAGCCUUGUUUCCCCCACCAUAUUACUAUUGUGUUUUCAGGAAAUGAAGUGCAUAGAUUUCAAAAGUCAGUUCUCUUCACAUUGAAGAUGCAUUAGCACAUCUGUGAUUCUAGGCCUCCAGCUGAUUUAGCGGCACGUGAUUCAAAUAAUGUGAAACAAUCUGCAUUUUUAAAUGUCCAGGUUUCUAACAUACACAGCAUUUUUGAGGAAAGUGAAUGACUGGGAGAAGCUGCAGAUUUGAAAAAAAAUAAUAAUCUGUUGAAUUUACAAGGAAAAUUCAAACACCUUUAUCAUUUGAACGAAAGAAUUCCCUAACCACCAAAAAUAAGCAUAUAUAUAGAAAUGGUACUCAGACUCAACUUUCAAAAUGGGAGGGAGUUGAGAAUCCUUUGAUUCACUACACAGAUUUUUUUUUAAGCCAUCCACAACUGUAUGAGUUUUAUAGGGGAAAUGGGAUGUAAAAUAAGUACCCCUGUGGCAGAUGAUGAUUGUAAGACACGUCAUGGAACUGUGGUCUUAUUGAAUGGAUUGAACACUGGGUAACUGGUAAAGUGAUUGAGGCUUUGACAUUUUACUACAACUUUCAGCUGACAAUCUUCCUGAAAAGGAUUUUUAGUAAAAGUUUAAAAAAGUCUUGUGGUAAUUCAUAUUUCCCCUAAAAUAACAACUAUGCCACAUUGCAGAGGACCUAAAUAGAUGUUUUCCAAAGAAGACAGCAGAUCGCCAACAGGUGCAUGCAAAGAUGCUUAAAUCACUAAUCAAUAGGGAAAUGUGAAUGAAAACCAAGGUGAGAUACUGUCUCACACCUGUUAGAGUGGCUAUUCUCAAAAAGACAGGAGAUAAGGGUGUCUGGGUGGUUUAGUUGGUUAAGCGGCCAACUCUUGAUUUUGGCUCAGGUCAUGAUCUCAGGGUCGUGAGAUUGAGCUCCAUAACUGGCUGUGUGCGGUGGGCAUGGAGCCUGUUUGCGAUUCUCUCUCUGCCUCUCCCUUUGCCCCUCUCCCCAUCCGUCUUUCCAAAAAAACCAAACCAAACCAAACCAAACCAAACCAAAACAAACAAACAAAAAAAAAAACCAACCAACCAAACCAAACAAAACAACAACAAAAAAACAAACCAAAAAGCAAUUUAAACUCAAUUAGAUUCAAUCCCUUAAAAAAAAAAAAAA
rnacentral:lncRNA from 1 species